rnacentral:rRNA from 1 species
UACAGAGGGGGCAAGCGUUAUUCGGAAUUAUUGGGCGUAAAGGGCGCGUAGGCGGCCUGGCAAGUGGAAGGUGAAAUCCCUCGGCUUAACCGAGGAACUGCCCUCCAAACUGCUUGGCUUGAGUCCGGGAGAGGUGAGUGGAAUUCCCAGUGUAGCGGUGAAAUGCGUAGAUAUCGGGAGGAACACCUGAGGCGAAGGCGGGCUACUGGGCCGAUACUGACGCUGAUGCGCGAAAGCCAGGGGAGCGAACGGG